GCGUACAGGUUUCCGUAGGUGACCUGCGGAAGGAUCAUUAUUGAAAUAAACCUGAUGAGUUGUUGCUGGUUCUCUAGGGAGCAUGUGCACACUUGUCAUCUUUAUAUCUCCACCUGUGCACCUUUUGUAGACCUGGAUAUCUCUCUGAGUGCUAGCCACUCAGGUUUGAGGAUUGACUUUAUGUCUCUCCUUACCWUUCCAGGCCUAUGUUUCUUUAUAUACCCAAUGUAUGUCAUAGAAUGUAAUCAAUGGGCCUUUGUGCCUAUAAACCUAUACAACUUUCAGCAACGGAUCUCUUGGCUCUCGCAUCGAUGAAGAACGCAGCGAAAUGCGAUAAGUAAUGUGAAUUGCAGAAUUCAGUGAAUCAUCGAAUCUUUGAACGCACCUUGCGCUCCUUGGUAUUCCGAGGAGCAUGCCUGUUUGAGUGUCAUUAAUAUAUCAACCUCUUCAACUUUUGUUUGUCGGGUGUUGGAUUUGGGGGUCUUUUUUUGCUGGUCUUCUAAAGGUCGGCUCCCCUUAAAUGCAUUAGCAGAACAAUUUGUGAACCGUUCAUUGGUGUGAUAACUAUCUACACUAUUGACGUGAAACAGUUCAGCUUCUAACAGUCCAGUUGACUUGGACAACUUUUCAUUAAUGUGACCUCAAMUCAGGUAGGACUACCCGCUGAACUUAAGCAUAC
rnacentral:rRNA from 1 species